rnacentral:lncRNA from 1 species
GCAGAAUGUUCUUUCCCUUUUCAGCUCUUUGGCGUUGCUAAGAGACUGCCAUUUUGGAGGAAAGAGCGAUCGCCUCACCGGCCCAUCCUCCAAGCCGGACUGCCGGCAAAUGCCUCCACAGUGGUCGGAGGAGACGUAGAGUUUGUCUGCAAGGUUUACAGUGAUGCCCAGCCCCACAUCCAGUGGAUCAAGCACGUGGAAAAGAACGGCAGUAAAUACGGGCCCGACGGGCUGCCCUACCUCAAGGUUCUCAAGCACUCGGGGAUAAAUAGUUCCAAUGCAGAAGUGCUGGCUCUGUUCAAUGUGACCGAGGCGGAUGCUGGGGAAUAUAUAUGUAAGGUCUCCAAUUAUAUAGGGCAGGCCAACCAGUCUGCCUGGCUCACUGUCCUGCCAAAACAGCAAGCGCCUGGAAGAGAAAAGGAGAUUACAGCUUCCCCAGACUACCUGGAGAUAGCCAUUUACUGCAUAGGGGUCUUCUUAAUCGCCUGUAUGGUGG